rnacentral:rRNA from 1 species
AGCAUGCAUGCAUGCAUAAUCUGGCCCUUCGGUGUCCUAGUUGUUUUCUCAAGAAGUGUUUUCCGCGUUGGACCGCACACAAGUCUGUUGGAAUACAGCGGAAUAGUGGUGAAACCCCCGUGUAUGGGGCGGAGUCCCCCCGCUUUGUGAUCCAUUUUCGAAUAGUCUAGUUGGUUGGUAAUGCUCUUCAUGUUGGGUGGUUUAUUCCAUCUAAUGCUAAUUAUUGACAAAACACCGAUACCCAACAAGUACCGUGAGGGAAAGAUGAAAACUUCUUUGAAAAAAUAGUUAACAAUAAUGCAUGCUAGGAGGGAAAACUCUUGAUCUCACAUUUGCUUGCCGAUCAGUCGGUUUGCUGGCCAGCUUCCAUGCAUGAUGCAUGCAUUAAUGGCAGAUACAACGUACCAAUUUCGGCUGUGUUAUUGCUAUGCAUUGUAUACAUCUUGGGGGACUGACGAAGGCGUUGUGCCUUUGGCCGGGGUUUCGACCUCUUCUCCCUUAAGAUGCUGGGGGAAUGGCUUUAAACCACCCCUCUUGAA